rnacentral:rRNA from 1 species
UACGGAGGGUGCGAGCGUUGUCCGGAAUCACUGGGCGUAAAGGGCGCGUAGGCGGCCCUGUAAGUCCGCUGUGAAAGUCAAGGGCUCAACCCUUGAAUGCCGGUGGAUACUGCAGGGCUAGAGUCCGGAAGAGGUGAGUGGAAUUCCUGGUGUAGCGGUGAAAUGCGCAGAUAUCAGGAGGAACACCGAUGGCGAAGGCAGGUCUCUGGGCAUUAACUGACGCUGAGGAGCGAAAGCAUGGGGAGCGAACAGG